GGGAUAUUGCGCAAUGGGGGAAACCCUGACGCAGCAACGCCGCGUGGAGGAUGACGGUUUUCGGAUUGUAAACUCCUUUUAUAAGGGACGAACUAAGACGGUACCUUAUGAAUAAGCUCCGGCUAACUACGUGCCAGCAGCCGCGGUAAUACGUAGGGAGCAAGCGUUGUCCGGAUUUACUGGGUGUAAAGGGUGCGUAGGCGGCUUGGCAAGUCAGGUGUGAAAUCCAUGGGCUCAACCCAUGAACUGCACUUGAAACUGUCAGGCUUGAGUGAAGUAGAGGCAGGCGGAAUUCCCUGUGUAGCGGUGAAAUGCGUAGAGAUAGGGAGGAACACCAGUGGCGAAGGCGGCCUGCUGGGCUUUAACUGACGCUCAGGCACGAAAGCGUGGGUAGCAAACA
rnacentral:rRNA from 1 species